GUGCCAGCAGCGGCGGUAAUACGGAGGGUGCAAGCGUUAAUCGGAAUUACUGGGCGUAAAGCGCACGCAGGCGGUUCUGUCAAGUCGGAUGUGAAAUCCCCGGGCUCAACCUGGGAACUGCAUUCGAAACUGGCAGGCUGGAGUCUUGUAGAGGGGGUAGAAUUCCAGGUGUAGCGGUGAAAUGCGUAGAGAUCUGGAGGAAUACCGGUGGCGAAGGCGGCCCCCUGGACAAAGACUGACGCUCAGGUGCGAAAGCGUGGGAGCAAACAGGAUUAGAUACCCUGGUAGUCCACGCCGUAACGAUG
rnacentral:rRNA from 1 species